GAUGAAGAACGUAGCGAAAUGCGAUAAGUAAUGUGAAUUGCAGAAUUCAGUGAAUCAUCGAAUCUUUGAACGCACCUUGCGCCCUUUGGCUAUUCCGAAGGGCAUGCCUGUUUGAGUAUCAUGAAAACCUCAACUCUCAUGGCUUGCCAUGAUGAGCUUGGACUCUGGGGGUCUUGCUGGCUUUACGGUCAGCUCCUCUCAAAUAAAUCAGCUUGCCGGUGUUUGGUGGGAUCACAGGUGUGAUAACUAUCUACGCUUGUGGUUUUCCGCCAGGUAACCUUCAGCAAUGGAGGUUCGCUGGAGCUCAUAAAUGUCUCUCCUCAGCGAGGACAGAUUUUGACCGUUUGAUCUCAAAUCAGGUAGGACUACCCGCUGAACUUAAGCAUAUCAAUAAGCGGAGA
rnacentral:misc_RNA from 1 species